CACGUAGGGCGCAAGCGUUGUCCGGAAUUAUUGGGCGUAAAGAGCUUGUAGGCGGUUUGUCGCGUCUGCUGUGAAAAUCCGGGGCUCAACCCCGGACUUGCAGUGGGUACGGGCAGACUAGAGUGUGGUAGGGGAGACUGGAAUUCCUGGUGUAGCGGUGGAAUGCGCAGAUAUCAGGAGGAACACCGAUGGCGAAGGCAGGUCUCUGGGCCAUUACUGACACUGAGAAGCGAAAGCAUGGGGAGCGAACAGG
rnacentral:rRNA from 1 species